CACGUAGGGCGCAAGCGUUGUCCGGAUUUAUUGGGCGUAAAGAGCGUGUAGGCGGCCAUGUAGGUCCGUUGUGAAAACUCGAGGCUCAACCUCGAGACGCCGAUGGAAACCAUGUGGCUAGAGUCCGGAAGAGGAGAGUGGAAUUCCUGGUGUAGCGGUGGAAUGCGCAGAUAUCAGGAGGAACACCGGUGGCGAAGGCGGGUCUCUGGGCAGUAACUGACGCUGAGGAGCGAAAGCGUGGGGAGCGAACAGG
rnacentral:rRNA from 1 species